UUUUUUGUCCCAAUCCCCCUUCAGGACUGCCGAGUCUCUGCCCCAGCUAUCAGUAGUAUAUGCUGGCAAGAUUUAGGCAGUUCAGAAGGUGUUUCGUGGACUU
rnacentral:pre_miRNA from 13 species